AGAGUUUGAUCCUGGCUCAGAGCGAACGCUGGCGGCAGGCUUAACACAUGCAAGUCGAGCGGGCGUAGCAAUACGUCAGCGGCGGACGGGUGAGUAACGCGUGGGAACAUACCUUUUGGUUCGGAACAACACAGGGAAACUUGUGCUAAUACCGGAUAAGCCCUUACGGGGAAAGAUUUAUCGCCGAAAGAUUGGCCCGCGUCUGAUUAGCUAGUUGGUGAGGUAACGGCUCACCAAGGCGACGAUCAGUAGCUGGUCUGAGAGGAUGAUCAGCCACAUUGGGACUGAGACACGGCCCAAACUCCUACGGGAGGCAGCAGUGGGGAAUAUUGGACAAUGGGCGCAAGCCUGAUCCAGCCAUGCCGCGUGAGUGAUGAAGGCCCUAGGGUUGUAAA
rnacentral:rRNA from 1 species